rnacentral:rRNA from 1 species
ACGAACGCUGGCGGCGUGCCUCAUACAUGCAAGUCGAACGAGAGCAACCGGUGCUUGCACUGGUCAAUCUAGUGGCGAACGGGUGAGUAACACGUGGGUAACCUGCCCAUCAGAGGGGGAUAACAUCCGGAAACGGAUGCUAAAACCGCAUAGGUCUUCGAACCGCAUGGUUUGAAGAGGAAAAGAGGCGCAAGCUUCUGCUGAUGGAUGGACCCGCGGUGCAUUAGCUAGUUGGUGAGGUAACGGCUCACCAAGGCCGUGAUGCAUAGCCGACCUGAGAGGGUGAUCGGCCACAUUGGGACUGAGACACGGCCCAAACUCCUACGGGAGGCAGCAGUAGGGAAUCUUCCGCAAUGGACGCAAGUCUGACGGAGCAACGCCGCGUGAGUGAAGAAGGUUUUCGGAUCGUAAAACUCUGUUGUUAGAGAAGAACAAGUGCUAGAGUAACUGUUAGCGCCUUGACGGUAUCUAACCAGAAAGCCACGGCUAACUACGUG